rnacentral:rRNA from 1 species
GAUGAACGCUGGCGGCGUGCCUAAUACAUGCAAGUCGAGCGAACAGACGAGGAGCUUGCUCCUCUGACGUUAGCGGCGGACGGGUGAGUAACACGUGGAUAACCUACCUAUAAGACUGGGAUAACUUCGGGAAACCGGAGCUAAUACCGGAUAAUAUAUUGAACCGCAUGGUUCAAAAGUGAAAGACGGUUUUGCUGUCACUUAUAGAUGGAUCCGCGCCGCAUUAGCUAUUUGGUAAGGUAACGGCUUACCAAGGCAACGAUGCGUAGCCGACCUGAGAGGGUGAUCGGCCACACUGGAACUGAGACACGGUCCAGACUCCUACGGGAGGCAGCAGUAGGGAAUCUUCCGCAAUGGGCGAAAGCCUGACGGAGCAACGCCGCGUGAGUGAUGAAGGUCUUCGGAUCGUAAAACUCUGUUAUUAGGGAAGAACAAAUGUGUAAGUAACUAUGCACGUCUUGACGGUACCUAAUCAGAAAGCCACGGCUAACUACGUG